CUGAGUUUUGAAAAGGGUUGUAGCUGGUCUUUAAACAAGACAUGUGCACGCUCUGCUCAUCCACUCUUUUAAACUUAUGUGCACCUAUGUAGAGUUUGGUGAAACUUGGUCGAAAGACUGGGGGGGAUCCUGCUCUAUGUUUUUUUAUACAAACGCUUUAGUUAUAGAAUGUCGUCUUGUGUUAAACACAAUAUAAUA
rnacentral:misc_RNA from 1 species